AUGGAGGAAUAUGUUUUCCAUGGCCCACUUCCUCCAACCUACCAACUUCUCCUCAACCCCACUGAGCAAUGCUUCCCGAAGUCCCAUGGGAAGAUCUCCCCUCUGAAACGCUUUCAUUUUGAAACGGGGCCCUAUCAGGGCAUGACCCCAAUGGCUUCUGUUUCUCCAGGUCCCCCUUCUCUUUUCCCCCUCAUUUUACGCCCUGAGAGCAUCCCAAGCAGCGGACUUGUCACCAUCGGGUGCCUGGCAAAAGACGUUGUGCCUCCCGUGAUCAGUUUCACCUGGGACCAUCAGAAUGUCAGCAUCAACCCGGAUUCCAUCAAGCAGUUCCCUUCCGUUUUCAACCCAGUGGGGACUUUCAGCUCCAGCUCGCAGGUGGUCAUCUCUGCCCACGACUGGUGGAACUUCCAGCCAUUCUAUUGCCGGGCUAAUAACACCAAUGGAAACGGAGUCGUACAAGUCGUCCGUCCGACUUCCUGCCUUCAGCCUGAGAUGAUCAUCCGUGCCCCACGCCUAGAAGAUUUUGAGAACUCUAAUCCAAACGCCACCAUUGUCUGCAUGGCGGUUAAUUUGCGCACCGCAAGAGCGACAGUCCAGUGGCAGAAGAAUGGGCACGUGCUCAACUCUGGCUUCGCCACCACUGGGCCAGCUGUGAUGGGUCGCAACGGCUACAGCAUCGUCAGCGAGCUCAUAGUCGACAGGCGGGACUGGGUGUCUGAGAAGACGUUCUCCUGCGAAGUGCGGAGCGAGAAUUUCACCAGCACCAAGAACAUCAGCAAACCUCUUGUUUGUGACAUCGGUCCUGGUUCUGAAAUGAAAGUCCACGUGGGGACCAUCCCGCCAACCUUCACCGAUAUUUACUUGACCAAAUCAGCCAAGCUGACUUGCAGAAUCUCCAAUAUUCCCUAUGAUCAGGUCCCUAAAAAACUGGAUGUCAUCUGGACACGAGAACGUGACAACAAAGAGCUAGAAACCAAAAUUGGACAGGCGACGGCUCAAGACAAAAAUGAGCUGGUAUUUGUUGACGCCACAGCUGCUGUGUGCCCUGAAGAGUGGAACAGUGGAGAGACCUUUAAAUGCAGAGUGACUAUCCCUUCCCUUCUUCCCGCAACUGAGACAAGAAUCCUGCAGAAGCUUAAAAGUAGCGCUUACCACCCUCCCGCUGUCUACGUCCUCCCCCCGCCCUCGGAACAGCUGGCUCUGCAGGAAACGGCCACCAUCACUUGUCUGCUGAAAGGAUUCUACCCCAACGACUUCUUCGUGAAAUGGAUGAGGAACAACGAGCCCGUGGGACCUUCAGAGUACUUCACCAGCCAACCCAUACAGGAGUCCAAGACGCCCGAGCGGUACUUCACCUACAGCACGUUGAACGUCAAAGAGCAGGACUGGAGCUAUGGAGACACUUACACCUGCGUGGUGGGACACGAGGCGCUUCCCCUCCAGACGACUCAGAAGACCGUAGACAAGAACACGGCUUACCUUGAUGGGAUUGUAGCCGUCGAUGACGACGAAGGACUCCUAAACAUCUCAUCCGCCCUUUCCACUUUCAUCGUCCUCUUCCUCGUGAGCCUUUUCUACAGCGCCACCGUGACGGUCAUCAAGGUAAAAUAGCGAAACCAAC